rnacentral:rRNA from 1 species
UGGGGAAUUUUGGACAAUGGGCGAAAGCCUGAUCCAGCAAUGCCGCGUGUGUGAAGAAGGCCUUCGGGUUGUAAAGCACUUUUGUCCGGAAAGAAAUCCUUGGCUCUAAUACAGUCGGGGGAUGACGGUACCGGAAGAAUAAGCACCGGCUAACUACGUGCCAGCAGCCGCGGUAAUACGUAGGGUGCAAGCGUUAAUCGGAAUUACUGGGCGUAAAGCGUGCGCAGGCGGUUUGCUAAGACCGAUGUGAAAUCCCCGGGCGUCAACCUGGGAACUGCAUUGGUGACUGGCAGGCUAGAGUAUGGCAGAGGGGGGUAGAAUUCCACGUGUAGCAGUGAAAUGCGUAGAGAUGUGGAGGAAUACCGAUGGCGAAGGCAGCCCCCUGGGCCAAUACUGACGCUCAUGCACGAAAGCGUGGGGAGCAAACAGGAUUAGAUACCCUGGUAGUCCACGCCCUAAAACGAUGUCAACUAGUUGUUGGGGAUUCAUUUCCUUAGUAACGUAGCUAACGCGUGAAGUUGACCGCCUGGGGAGUACGGUCGCAAGAUUAAAACUCAAAGGAAUUGACGGGGUCAUAGCUGUUUCCU